UACAGAGGUCUCGAGCGUUAAUCGGAGUCACUGGGCUUAAAGGGUGCGUAGGCCGGUCUGUAAGUGCCUUGUGAAAUCCCAUGGCUCAACCAUGGAAUUGCUCGGUAGACUGCAGGCCUUGAGGUCGGUAGGGGCAGCCGGAACUCUAGGUGGAGCGGUGAAAUGCGUAGAUAUCUAGAGGAACGCCGAAGGUGAAGACAGGCUGCUGGGCCGAUUCUGACGCUGAGGCACGAAAGCGUGGGGAGCAAACGGG
rnacentral:rRNA from 1 species